UAAUACCCCAUAUGCCUAAGGGUGAAAAGAGAUUUGCCUGAAAAUGAGCUCGCGUCACAUUAUCUAGUUGGUGGGGUAAGGGCCUACCAAGGCGACGAUCUGUAGCUGGUCUGAGAGGAUGAUCAGCCACACUGGGACUGAGACACGGCCCAGACUCCUACGGGAGGCAGCAGUGGGGAAUUUUCCGCAAUGGGCGAAAGCCUGACGGAGCAAGACCGCGUGAGGGAUGAAGGCCUAAUGGUUGUAAACCUCUUUUCUCUAGGAAGAUGAUGACGGUACUAGAGGAAUCAGCCUCGGCUAACUCCGUGCCAGCAGCCGCGGUAAUACGGAGGAGGCAAGCGUUAUCCGGAAUUAUUGGGCGUAAAGCGUCCGUAGGUGGUUGAACAAGUCAGUUGUUAAAGAGUGGGGCUUAACCCUAUAGAGGCGAUUGAAACUGUUUAACUAGAGUUAGGUAGGGGUUACGGGAAUUCCCAGUGUAGCGGUGAAAUGCGUAGAUAUUGGGAAGAACACCGGUGGCGAAAGCGCGUGACUGGGCCU
rnacentral:rRNA from 1 species